UAUGGGUACUUGUGUGCCAGCCGCCGCGUUACCCCUUAUUUCCCACUCUUUUUCUGGAAUUACUGGGUGUAAAGGGAGCGCAGGCGGGAAGACAAGUUGGAAGUGAAAUCCAUGGGCUCAACCCAUGAACUGCUUUCAAAACUGUUUUUCUUGAGUAGUGCAGAGGUAGGCGGAAUUCCCGGUGUAGCGGUGGAAUGCGUAGAUAUCGGGAGGAACACCAGUGGCGAAGGCGGCCUACUGGGCACCAACUGACGCUGAGGCUCGAAAGUGUGGGUAGCAAACAGG
rnacentral:rRNA from 1 species